rnacentral:rRNA from 1 species
UAUUGCACAAUGGGCGGAAGCCUGAUGCAGCAACGCCGCGUGCGGGAUGACGGCCUUCGGGUUGUAAACCGCUUUCGCCUGUGACGAAGCGUGAGUGACGGUAAUGGGUAAAGAAGCACCGGCUAACUACGUGCCAGCAGCCGCGGUGAUACGUAGGGUGCGAGCGUUGUCCGGAUUUAUUGGGCGUAAAGGGCUCGUAGGUGGUUGAUCGCGUCGGAAGUGUAAUCUUGGGGCUUAACCCUGAGCGUGCUUUCGAUACGGGUUACUUAGAAGGUAGGGGAGGAAUGAAUUCCUGGUGAGCGGUGAAUGCGCAGUUCAGAGAACACCAGUGGCGAGGCGGUUCUCUGGCCUUCCUGCGUGAGCAGAAAGA